rnacentral:rRNA from 1 species
GACGAACGCUGGCGGCGUGCCUAAUACAUGCAAGUCGAACGCAUUUUCUUUCACCGUAGCUUGCUACACCGAAAGAAAAUGAGUGGCGAACGGGUGAGUAACACGUGGGUAACCUGCCCAUCAGCGGGGGAUAACACUUGGAAACAGGUGCUAAUACCGCAUAAUUCCAUUUACCGCAUGGUAGAUGGAUGAAAGGCGCUUUUGCGUCACUGAUGGAUGGACCCGCGGUGCAUUAGCUAGUGGGUGGGGUAACGGCCUACCAAGGCUGCGAUGCAUAGCCGACCUGAGAGGGUGAUCGGCCACACUGGGACUGAGACACGGCCCAGACUCCUACGGGAGGCAGCAGUAGGGAAUCUUCGGCAAUGGACGCAAGUCUGACCGAGCAACGCCGCGUGAGUGAAGAAGGUUUUCGGAUCGUAAAACUCUGUUGUUAGAGAAGAACAAGGAUGAGAGUGGAAAGUUCAUCCCUUGACGGUAUCUAACCAGAAAGCCACGGCUAACUACGUG